rnacentral:tRNA from 1 species
GUUUUAAUAAUUUAAUAUAAAAUAUUGGUCUUGUAAAUCAAAAAUAAGAAAUAUUCUUUUAAAACU